GGUGAACGCUAGCUACAGGCUUAACACAUGCAAGUCGAGGGGAAACGAUAGAGAAAGCUUGCUUUUUCUAGGCGUCGACCGGCGCACGGGUGAGUAACGCGUAUCCAACCUGCCCACCACUUGGGGAUAACCUUGCGAAAGUAAGACUAAUACCCAAUGAUAUCUCAAGAAGACAUCUGAAUGAGAUUAAAGAUUUAUCGGUGAUGGAUGGGGAUGCGUCUGAUUAGCUUGUUGGCGGGGUAACGGCCCACCAAGGGGAGGAUCAGUAGGGGUUCUGAGAGGAAGGACCCCCACAUUGGAACUGAGACACGGUCCAAACUCCUACGGGAGGCAGCAGUGAGGAGUAUUGGUCAAUGGGCGAGAGCCUGAACCAGCCAAGUAGCGUGCAGGAUGACGGCCCUAUGGGUUGUAAACUGCUUUUAUAAGGGAAUAAAGUGAGUCUCGUGAGACUUUUUGCAUGUACCUUAUGAAUAAGGACCGGCUAAUUCCGUGCCAGCCGCCGCCGUAA
rnacentral:rRNA from 1 species